AACGAACGCUGGCGGCAGGCUUAACACAUGCAAGUCGAACGGGUGCAGCAAUGCAUCAGUGGCAGACGGGUGAGUAACACGUGGGAACCUUCCUCGGGGUACGGAACAACGCAGGGAAACUUGCGCUAAUACCGUAUACGUCCGUGAGGAGAAAGAUUUAUCGCCCUGAGACGGGCCCGCGUCGGAUUAGCUAGUUGGUGGGGUAACGGCCUACCAAGGCGACGAUCCGUAGCUGAUCUUAGAGGAUGAUCAGCCACACUGGGACUGAGACACGGCCCAGACUCCUACGGGAGGCAGCAGUGGGGAAUCUUGGACAAUGGGCGCAAGCCUGAUCCAGCCAUGCCGCGUGAGUGAAGAAGGUCUUCGGAUUGUAAAGCUCUUUUGCCAGGGACGAUAAUGACGGUACCAAGUGAAUAAGCACCGGCUAACUCCGUGCCAGCCGCCGCCGUAA
rnacentral:rRNA from 1 species